rnacentral:rRNA from 1 species
AGGGAAUCUUCCGCAAUGGACGAAAGUCUGACGGAGCAACGCCGCGUGAGUGAUGAAGGUUUUCGGAUCGUAAAGCUCUGUUGCCAGGGAAGAACGUCUUCUGGAGUAACUGCCAGGAGAGUGACGGUACCUGAGAAGAAAGCCCCGGCUAACUACGUGCCAGCAGCCGCGGUAAUACGUAGGGGGCGAGCGUUGUCCGGAAUUAUUGGGCGUAAAGCGCGCGCAGGCGGCUGUUUAAGGCUGGGGGUUAAUCCUGGGGCUCAACCCCGGGUCGCACUGGAAACUGGACGGCUUGAGUGCAGAAGAGGAGAGUGGAAUUCCACGUGUAGCGGUGAAAUGCGUAGAGAUGUGGAGGAACACCAGUGGCGAAGGCGACUCUCUGGGCUGUAACUGACGCUGAGGCGCGAAAGCGUGGGGAGCAAAC